UACAGAGGGGGCAAGCGUUGUUCGGAAUUACUGGGCGUAAAGGGCGCGUAGGCGGCCUGUUAAGUCGAACGUGAAAUCCCCGGGCUCAACCCGGGAACUGCGUCCGAUACUGGCAGGCUUGAAUCCGGGAGAGGGAUGCGGAAUUCCAGGUGUAGCGGUGAAAUGCGUAGAUAUCGGGAGGAACACCAAUUGCGAAGGCAGCUCGCUGGGACGUUACUGACGCUGAGACGCGAAAGCGUGGGGAGCAAACAGGAUUGA
rnacentral:rRNA from 1 species